rnacentral:rRNA from 1 species
UACGAAGGGUGCAAGCGUUAAUCGGAAUUACUGGGCGUAAAGGGUGCGUAGGCGGUUCGUUAAGUCUGUCGUGAAAUCCCCGGGCUCAACCUGGGAAUGGCGAUGGAAACUGGGCAGCUAGAGUGUGGCAGAGGAUGGUGGAAUUCCCGGUGUAGCGGUGAAAUGCGUAGAGAUCGGGAGGAACAUCAGUGGCGAAGGCGGCCAUCUGGGACAACACUGACGCUGAAGCACGAAAGCGUGGGGAGCAAACAGG